UUAAAUAUCAACUUAUAAGUUUAUGUUGACAUUUCAAUGUCAUCGUGUUGACAUUUUCAAUACACUGCGUUGAUGAGUUACAACUUAAGAAAGUUAGCAACGGAUCAACAUCUUUAUUAUGUAUACUCUACUUUACUGUCUCUGUCCGCGAUUUAAAAUACAAGAUCUACUCCUAGUAUGAAUGUGUGAUCCAUGAUAUUUAGGUUUUGUGAAAUUUUCAGCAUAAUUUCCUUUACUAGAGGAGCUGGAGGAGGAUCGGACGUCUCCCUUAUACUUCGGAUGAUGCCGCACCCUCUGCCAAGUGUUGAGAUGAGUGAAUGUUUUGUAAUGCACUAAUUGGUAGGACAAAUUGGCGGUCGUGAUGAUGUUGACCUCGCUGGUGCCGCUCCCAGCCAACCGUUGUUCCUCGAGUGCGCUCCACCAUUCCAGCCGGUCGGCCGGCAUUGUACAGGCCACUGACGCGGAACCAAAACCUGUCCACGCGUUGGUUCGUGCCUACCUCCCAUCUUCGGAGAUUUUCACAUAGGCAUCGAAUAUCUUCUCCAUCUCCUGCGGAGUGUACGGGGUGCAGACGUUGGGGUAACCGACACUGCCAAAGGUAUGAACACAGACACCACGAGUGCCGCGACUGCUAGAAUCGCCCUCCGGAAUUUGGGACAACGGUGGCGUUGAGGCGCUCCCUCCUGAGUCGUGCUCGGGUGCCCACCCGUAUUACCCUUCGGGGGCAUCUUGCAUGUCCAUCGAGUAAGACCGGUAGCCACCCGAAAUUUGCGAACCUUGGGUAAGAGGAAGGGGCGAAAUAUUCAUAUCCGGCGAAGGGAAUGCCGAUCCACCAAACAAGUCGUGGUUCCAUCUGCGGCCUUAGCUCAAGUCGGAGUUAGCCUCAGCCAUAGUCGGAGUUCGGAGGAGGUUUGCAGGGAGGGGUGAUCGCUGUAGCAGAACAUUUUGUAUUGAAAUGUUGGGUAUUUAUUGAUGAAAAUGUUUAUUUUGUGGUAAAAAUAAUGAAAAAUAAAUUAAAAGUGGAGGAAAACGGAUAUGUUUUAUUGGAAAGUGAGAAAAUAUUUUUUUUUA